rnacentral:lncRNA from 1 species
CACGUACCGUAAUGGGCUGCUGUAAGAAGAAAGACAGGGAGGUUCAGGGUGGAGCUAAUGAAUUGUAUGUGGCAAUGUACUACUGAGCUAAGUGUGCAGAGAAAAGGAUAAAACAUGACAUUCCAACCCUCAUGAAGUUUAUUUGAAGUCUUUCAGAAUGAAUUAUCUGAACAAUCAGACACUAAACAAACCAUCAGAAGUGUGAUGAGUGCUAUGAACAUGCAGAGAACAUUGCGCUACAAGAGCACCUAGGAGGCAAGGCGAACCUAGUUCAGGCAGUCAGUUAAAGUUAUCUGACAAGUGGAAUGUUUAAGGGGACCUGGAAUAUAAGUCAGCUGAGUGAAGAGAUGAACAAAGAACUUUCCAGGCAAAAGAGGUGUGAAAGCCUGAGGCAGGAAAGAAGACAGGGUAUUAGAGAAACCAAAAGAAGGUCCACAGAAUCAUGACGAGCAUUGAGUAAUGUACAGAAUUGUUGAGUCAUUAUGUUGCACACCUGAAACUAAUAUAACACUGCUUUGUUAAUUAUACUUCAAUUAAAAAAAAAAAAGGGCUGAUGCAAUGUAACUAAGGAAGAGUAGCUGAAAAGACAAGCUUAAACUAGAUCACACCGUCUUACAAGGUUAAACCUUUCCCCUGAUGGCAGUGGGAGGUCAAUGAACGGUAUUAAACAGGACAGAGAUAUGACAAGAUCUGGGCUUUUAAAAGAUGACUCUUGCUCAAGGUAGAGACUAGACAGAAGAGGAGCCAGAGGAGAUGUGGGGAAGCUAAGGAGACAGGCACCGCAGACAUCUCAACAUCUACAACAGGGAUCCAAGAACAUGUGGGAGUAGCAGAACAUGGGUCAUACUCAAGCAUCCUCCUGAGAGCAGGGAAAGGGCAGAACACCAAUGGCAAAAGUUACUCCUUAACCCAUGGAGUAUUAAAGGUGAUUCCUACCUUAAUAGGGAAGAGGAUGGGAAACCAUGAGAACAUCCCAGGAGAGUGAGUUUCUGGACGGAUACCUGUUUGAAAAAAUGAAAACAUUGAGGUCUCUGUGACUCUGCUUUUUGCCUGGGUUGAGGAGCGUGUCUUCUGUGAACAGAGAAACAAGUAAUCAAAGAUCCCCAUUCAUUGAUUCUUGGGCUCCCUGUGCAUCUAAAUGAAACAUUAACAAAACUGCCCAAGUAACAUACUCGUGCCCUGCCAUCCACUGCCCCAGACACUCACUCAGGGUGAUGUCCUGAUAAAGCACAGUUUCAAAGUAGCCUGCAAAGCCAUGUAGCACUGUGUUCACUUCCACAGGAAACUCCAAGGUGCAAUAGCGGUUAUUGUCAAUCAUAGGAUCUGUCAAGGAAGAGUUAUGUGGAUGACAAGGGGCCAAAAGCUCUAGACAACUUGGUAAAGCAAGAGCAAAAAAACAGGAUGGGAAGCCUAGACAGGGCAGACCCAGGAUAGCAAGAGAAGAAACCAGAAAGGUAAGCUCUCACCCAUCCAGUCAGAGGAGAGUCAUGCGGGAACCCACCUCUGUUGGGAUGGCUGAAGGUAAAACAGGGCUGGGGCGCCGACAGCUGGUGGAAGUUGUGCAGCCGUACCACAUAAGGCAUCUCAAACUGGGCCUGUCCCGAGAGACCAAGCAAGAGCUGGAGCAGACAGGCAAGACACACCUACUUCCCCGGGGUAAAGAAGCCUGAGCCUCAGGGACACAGAAAAGGAUAACAUUUUCAUUUCAACUUUCGCUUUCCCACAUGCCCAGCUCCUCCAUCACUUCAUCUUCUCCAGUGCAAGAAAACAGUUGAUGCUAACGUAGAAAAAGAAGAUGACUAAAGAGAAAAGAGCUCUCCAGAAGACAGUGGCUCUUUACCUCAGGGUCACGGUCCUUUUCCCGACAGGCGCGGACCUCAUUAUACAGCUUGGAGGAGGAGAUGGGAGCCAGAAAGGAGGUAUACUCCCCAGGGAUGCUCACACCAUCAUCUGGAGAGUAGGAGGGUCAUAUUAGUUCCCAAGGGAUGAAAAUGGUGCGUCUAACUGAAGGUUCAAACCUCCUACAUCAAAACAUACCACAUGUGACAACAUGGAGCUGUCUAGGUCUGUUUUGUCUAGGUCCUUUCAUGAGAAAUUCUACUUUGAGGUUAACUUACAGAGACACAGGUUAAAACUGGAAAGAACCUAAGAUACUCUAAUCUAGUGGUUCUUAACUUCUGUAGGGUCAUAAAGAACCUUGAUAUAUGGAUGAAAGCUAAGCCCAAGGUACAUAUUACAUCAGCUCAGGGAAUCCACAGACCUCAGACUUAAGGAGGAUCUGCUCUAGUCCACUCCUCUCAUUUUACAGAUGUGAACAGUGAGGUUCAGAGAAGUUACUUCAUUUGCUAGGGCAAUGACCCAAGUCCAACUCACCUUCCUUUAAACCUUGUCACCUCCUCCUAGGCUGCUGCUGCCUCACUCAACCCGCCCCCGCCCCCCAAACUGCCACGGCCUUCCAAGCUGAGAAUCCAUUCCCCUUACUCAGCACACCCCAGCCUAGAGGCACCUUUUAAGAAGUGUUGGGCUCCAUCCAGGCACUCAGGUGACAGUUCAUUGUCAGCAAAGGAGCCCAAAAGCUCACUGACGAUGAUGUCUGCUUUCUCUGGAGCCACCCAUUCCCGCAUGUCCGAUGAGACUACGGUUACCUGGCUUCCCCAUUCUUCAAAUUGCCAGUUCUCUAGCCUAAAAUAAAGAUAAUGCAAGUGACGACACUGGUAAGAAAAACUGGCACUGGAGACAAACUUCCCAGCAAGGAGGUUGCUACUCACGUCACCACGGCAUUUGGGUUCUUCUCCACAGCAUACAGCUUUAUCCUCCGGUCAGCCUGCUUGGCUGCCCUCAGAGAAGCAUUUACCAGGGGACCCCGGCCUGCUCCCAACACCAUUAGCACCCUAAGAAAGAGGAAGGGUCAAGCUGACUUAGCAGAUAGAGAAGAGGUAUGCAAAUCUCUGGGAUUGUGGGCAAGAGCACUCACUGGACAUUGGUAUCCUUCUCUUCGUCAGGCACUCGAUCUAACAGACAUUUAUAGAUGGCCUGGUGGAGGAAGGAGAAAAGACCUCAUGGCUAUGAUCCCAUCUUCACCCAGGACAUCCCGGCCCUGUACUUGACCCAGACCCACACUAUACCUGCUGAUAUUGAGAGUAUUUGAUGGGGUCCUUUUCAAACACUUCAUAUGUCUGAGAUUCCAGAUUGUCCAUCAGUGGCUGACGAAUGAGAGGAAAAAGGGAAAAUAAGUUAGCCAGUUUCUGGCAAGGGCAACAUACCAGAAUACCAAAAAAUUUCCCACUGCUUCCUGAGCUCUGGUAGGAUUUUAGGGCACCUAUGGUCAGAGACUCUUCUCCCACACCUCCCUCCUCUCAGAAUACUCCAGACCCACCUGGAGUGGGGACUGCAGAUAGUCUUCAUAGCCCUUGGCAAAGAGUUCGUAAGCAUUGGGUGGAGGACGGUUCUGGCUCAAGUAUUCCAGGUACUGGAGGUAAGAACAGAACUCCUUCUCUGAGUGGUGGUUGGUGCCUGUGAUGAUGAACUGCACUUCCAGCUGUGAGAGAAGUCAGACCAUCAGGUACAGUCCUCGAACCAAGAUUCUGGGAUAUUGUUAUGGCUUAUGGCCAAAGAACCCUGGCGUAAAAUAAGGCCCAAACGAUUAGUCUUCCAGUUCAACAGAUAUCUCCAAGUAUCAACACAACAGCAUGAAGCUUCAAUAAACUUAUAAAGCCCUCUAAUGUCAUAUAAGCAUCAUCCUGACUCAAACAGCCCCAUCGAUCCUCACUGUAACAUCUUAAAUGAAACCUUCUGCAAAGUUCUCAUGAGAUUUGGUUCCUUUUGAAAUGUUCUGGGGCUCCUAAUCCCAUUCGCCUCUUUGUUCUCAAGAGCUCCAAUUUUGAUGAAAUCGCUCCCCAGAAACCAGAAAGGAAAAGAAUCAGCCUCACAGAAAAAAAAAAAAAAAAAAAGCACCACACAUAUGUGAAUAAGGCAAGAGGAUUAGCUGGAGUAUCUUUGGAAACCUUCUACCACCCACCUUGAGGAGCCGGAAGAUCAGCCUCUGAUGCAUCUUAGAAAGAACAGGAAAUCCCUUCUUAUUGGUCAGGAAAAUGCUGGUGGGGAGAAUGGCUGCUUUGAUGGGCUCCCCAAGCCAACGAUCAAUGACAUGGUUAGAUGGGAGGUCGGCCCCAAUUUCAAGAGCUACACGAGGGAAAAGAAAGUUAACUACUAUAUAAGAAGGCUUUCCUUGCUUUUUUGUGCAACAUCUGUUUACUCCUUAAGAGCAAGGCCUACUGAGACAUAAAGUAGCAAAACUGCCCAGCAGCCUAGUAUACAUGAAACUCCUUUUUUUUUUUUAAACGUUUUUUUUUUUUUUUUUUGAGACAGGGGGAGACAGAGCAUGAACAGGGGAGGGUCAGAGAGAGGGAGACACAGAAUCUGAAACAGGCUCCAGGCUCUGAGCUGUCAGCACAGAGCCCGACGCGGGGCUUGAACUCACAGACCGUGAGACCAUGACCUGAGCCGAAGUCGGCUGCUUAACCGACUGAGCCACCCAGGCGCCCCUGAAACUCCUGAUUUUUUUUUUAACUGUAUCCAGCUUUAUUAAAGAUACUUUUCAUAAACAAUCAUGGUAUUUCAGGCAGAACAUGGGCAGACAAUGUUAACAGUAUACAGCAACUUUCAAACUCCUUUCUUUAAUGGACUACCAAAGUCAGAAAGCCAUUUCAUAAAACCCAAUGAAGUCUUCAUUUGAUGCUCUGAACAGGGAAAAGUUUAAAGAAAUUUUAAUAUUUUAUUUAUUUUUGAGAGACAGAGACAGCACAAGUGGGGGGAGGGGCAGAGAGGGAGACACAGAACUCGAAGGGGGCUCCAGGCUCUGAGCUGUCAGCACAGAGCCCAAAGUAGGUCCCAAACCCAUGAACCGUGAGAUCAUGACCUAAGUUGAAGCCAGACGCUUAACCGACUGAGCCACCCAAGUGCCUGAACAAGGAAAAGUUUAGAGUAAGGGUUGACAUUUCACAUUUAGCAUGUUGUUAAACAACUUUUCACAAGCCAACCCUGACUUUGAAAUGAAAAUGGCAGAAUUAUCAAUCUGAUGCUCCACAAGCUAAAAGAGGAACUCUUUUGAGGGAUGCCAUCUCCAUGGUGACCCUGCAAAGUCCAGAUUGCCUGACAUACUGGGAACUAUUUUGACACUCGGGUCAGGUUCCAACAGGUCUCUGGGUUUAAGGAAGUCAAAUCUAUGUUGAAGGCAGAGAAGGAGAAGAGGACAUAAAAAAUGAAUUUUAGGGGCGCCUGGGUGGCGCAGUCGGUUAAGCGUCCGACUUCAGCCAGGUCACGAUCUCGCGGUCUGUGAGUUCGAGCCCCGCGUCGGGCUCUGGGCUGAUGGCUCAGAGCCUGGAGCCUGUUUCCGAUUCUGUGUCCCCCUCUCUCUCUGCCCCUCGCCCGUUCAUGCUCUGUCUCUCUCUGUCCCAAAAAUAAAUAAACGUUGAAAAAAAAAAAAAAAAUUAAAAAAAAAAAAAAAAUGAAUUUUAGUUUUUCCACACCAUAAGGUGUCUGUGCCAAGGUGGCUAAUGUGUAUCAUCAUCAAGGAAUCCCUCCUCCUGGGAACCAAAGAGGAAGUUUCUCAGAACUAGAAGGGAAAGGUAUUUUCUCCCCCUUAUCAAUCUAGCUUCAGAGAUAUUCAAUUAGUGACAUUUGUCUUCCCCCUAAAUAACAAUGAAGUGUUCUGUGUACUAACAACAUAGCUUAAAAGAAAAAAAAAAAAAAGUAAACCAGGGAUGCCUGUGUGGCUCAGUCAGUUAAGCGUCUCUUAACUUCAGAUCAGGUCAUGAUCUCAUGGUUCAUGAGACUGAGCCCUGCAUUGGGCUCUGUGCUAACAGCGAGGAGCCUGCUUAGGAUUCUCUCUCUCCCUCUGCCCCUCCCCUGCUUGCUCUCUCUCUCUCUCUCUCUCUCUCAAAUAAAUAAAUAAACAUUAAAAAAAGUAAAAAAAAUCUUCAUUUUAACAAAACUUAAUAAAAAAGUAUUUCAAGCUGUAAAGUCACCAGAAGUACAUAGUUAUCAAAAAUGCACACAUUUCACUUGGCAUCUCCAAAAACUCCUAAUUCUUUUUUUUUUUUAAUAUUUAUUUAGUUUUGAGAGAGAUAUAUAUAAGAGAGAGGGAGAGUGUGUGCAGGGGAAAAGCAGAGAGAGAGGGAGACAGAGGAUCUGAAAUGAGCUCUGUGCUGACAGCAGAGCCCAAUCUCACAAACUAUGAGAUCAUGACCUGAGCCGAAGUCGGAUGCUUAACCAACUGAGCCACCCAGGUGCCCCCAAAACUCCUAAUUCUUACUCGCAGGAGGUCAGAGAAGGGAUACCUAUCCCAGUACCCUUGUGGACUUACCCACCGCAAUCCUCUUGCUAUAGUCACACAAGGUCCGGAAGUUGUGCCACCUGUCGGGGUCAAAUACAGAAAAAUACAGUCAAAUAUAUAUAGCUCACCAAUUACCACAGCUCGAGGAGACCUCCCUACAGGCUCCACCCUGUACCUCCCCUUAUCCUCCGCUUUGCCCUGGCACAGCAGCAAAAGGAGACAUACCACAUCCAUGUCUUCUCCUCUCCACUAUACUCCUCUGUGUGUGUACUUGGUGCAUUCUCAAUUAUAUCAUCUCUCAGGUCCUCUGGGGCCACCAAGGGUACCCGCAUCCAGAACUGCACAUGAA